rnacentral:misc_RNA from 1 species
UAUAAUAAAACCCACUUAAAAUUAUAAUUUAUUAAUUUUCUACUAAUUGAGUGUAUAUAAAACUGCUUGCACAUAAGAAUUUCCCUUUUCCUUAGAAGUAAAAUUUAUGCUUAAAUUUGCUAAUUUAUUCCUCACUUAUCCCAUAGAACAAUACAGUACUCAACCUCACCACAUAAACCCUAAAUUCCUCGUCAACACAUGCUCACUAGAAUUUUCCUUGCAAAUUAAUUUCUCGAGUGCCUCGCCUGGCCAGGGCGCUAGGUUGAAGAUUCAGAAAAUGGCAACCACUUGGUCAUAGGCGUUCACUACUUAUUUACCACGGUCUAAUAAGCUACUAGGAGGGGUUUGUAGAAGCUUCUAUGUCUUCCCAAUCUGAGGUUUCAUACCACCCGUAAUUUUCAAUCUCUUUAUUUUCUGAGCUUCCACGUCUUCGAUGGGACCAUUUCUUGUGACGAUGAUGAUGAUGUUUUGGUCUCUUCUCGCUAAUGGCAAUGGCGAUGUCAUUAGGGAACAGGUCUCGAAGCACAAACGCAUGUACUAUUGUGGUUACAAGCAGAGCUGUGACUAUAAAAGUAGAGGUGAUAGAGAGUAUGACAGCUAGAGUUCGAGUUAAUAUGUUGGUGACUUCAUUUGAGUACCUAAUGGUUGCAAUGGCAGCUCCAGUCAUGGGGAAAGUGUAAGCCCACCAAGCCAAUGAGAACUUGAAUCCUCGGAAAAAAUUUAUACGAACUGCUAGUGAGAAAUAAAGAAACAGGGCAAUGAAAUAAGCAAUCCUCGAGCCAUAAUCAAAGGAGCCUUGAAUCUUUGCCCAUGCCAUGGAAGCAACGCUUGGUGCUGCAACAAACAGAAAGAAUACUGGAUGGAGCUCCUUUUGGAGCGUUUCAUUUGUUGGAAGUCUCUGAUAGAGGGUUACAAAUAGGACUGUGUAGUGAGCCAACCCAACAGCAAAGAAGAAAAUAGGCCCUUCUUUUAGCCCCAUUGAUGCACCCAACAAUGCCCCAACAAAGUUCCCUAAAAUUGAGAGAUGAUUUGAAGGAUUCGCCACUCUUGAAAGCCUUCUUUGUCCUCCACACAUCCACUGUCCGUAGAUCUUAAGCUCAAGACAGAGGAUUGGAGUCAUGAGAAUGAACCAAAGGACACUAUGCAGGUUGUUAGCAACUGAUGGAGGCACUCCAAGUGCUAAGAACAGGAGGGCUAUCCAUGGUGCAAAGAAGAAAUUGACACGGAUUGGGUGGUAGUAUUCACGGCGAACUGCUUCAAAGUAGAGAAUCACUUUGACAAGAUAGAUGGAAGCAACAGUGGCUACAAGAGCAAGAGAGAUGCACCAUAGGACAAGAUUCACCUUUGGGCUAAUAUGGAGAAAUUUUGUGGAAGCAGAGGUGGCCAGGGUUUUCCACAUGAUUGCCUGGCUGCUAAUGCCAAGACAGAUACCGAAUGAAGUGAUGGGAUAUCGGAGAAGAAAUGGCCAUAACUUGUCAUCUGGUAGCACUAUUUCCUCUGAGGCCUAUGAAAUUAGCAACAGAAAAGAUAUGCAUGAUCAUAAAAGAUAAAGAACAUUUGGAUUGAAAAAAAUCAUACAUAAAUGGAUUAGAGGAAGCUAAGCACUUACUCUAAGGUUCUCCAUCUCAGGCCCUUCCAAUGCAUCGUAGUAUCGAUCCACAGGCAAAGCAUCCACAUGCUCCACAGAAUUCUCUGGUGAAGGUUUACGUGGCUUCCCACGUAAAUGUGAUAUCUGCCUCUCAAGUUUCCCAGACCAUGUUUUGAAAGAAUCAUAGCUUUUAUCCUUCAGUUUUUGAUGGUUAUGAGAGUUUGUGAUAUUGACUCCCAGCUCAACUGCACUUCCCUUGGGCAUUGGCUGAGAAUGGAAUUUUAUUUGCUUUGUCUGGAAGCUGGCAGCCUUAGAAUCAGUAGAAGAAACCGAAAUUCCGUUGCUGAAACUUGUUGCGCCAUUAUCCAUUUCAUUGAUUUCUGGGUUGUUUUCCCUUGGAGAAGUUGGCAUGCUAAUAGAAAUAGAAUUUUUAAAAGGGGGCAAAAUUAAUUCUCG